UGCAUUCACUACUGUAAGUCGCUCUGGAUAAGAGCGUCUGUUAAAUAUGUAAAA
rfam:Salmo salar isolate Sally breed double haploid chromosome ssa22, whole genome shotgun sequence.